AACGAACGCUGGCGGCAUGCCUAACACAUGCAAGUCGAACGAGACCUUCGUGUCUAGUGGCGCACAGGUGCGUCACGCGUCGGAACCUGCACUUAGGCUCCGAAUAACACUCCGUCGGGGGUGCUAAUACCGGGAAAUUUCUGCUGAUACAAGAUAGAACGCGUUUGGAUGGGCGCGAGUUGGCUUGACUAGUUGCGAUGGUAAAAGCCUAUCAAGGCUACGCUCCAUAGCUGGUCUGAGAGGCUGAUCAGCCACACUUGGGCUGAGACACGGCGCAGACUCCUACGGGAGGCAGCAGUGGCGGAUAUUGGACUAUCGGGGAAAGGCUGAACCAGCUAUGCUUCGUAAGUGAUUAAGUUCUUAGAGUUGUACAGCUCUUUUACCCCGGAUGAUAAUGACAGUACCGGGAGAAUAAGCACCGGCUAACUCCGUG
rnacentral:rRNA from 1 species